AUUCUCAUUUCUUUCCAGAGCCAACACAUAUUUUGCCUUUUAUUAAAGAUUUCCAUGGACAGGAACAAUUAAGAGGUUAAAUGCAAUUCUUGAGCCUUUUGUCUUGGAAGU